GGCGGUAUAGCUCAGGUGGCUAGAGCAUUCGGUUCAUACCCGAAGUGUCACUGGUUCAAAUCCAGUUACCGCUACCA
rnacentral:tRNA from 1 species